GUUUUAGUUUAUCACAAAUGCGUUCUGAAUUAUCAAUGUGGUUAUAUGAAAAGAGACUUGCGUCUCUCCGAUAAGUUCACAGGUGUAAGAUAGAAGGAGCAACGCGUGCACAUGCCCGAAGGCCAGCAAACAGCGAUGCGAGUUCCUCAGUAAUGAUCCUUCCGCAGGUUCACCUACGGAAA
rnacentral:misc_RNA from 1 species